rnacentral:rRNA from 1 species
CUACGGGAGGCAGCAGUGGGGAAUCUUGCGCAAUGGGCGAAAGCCUGACGCAGCAACGCCGCGUGCGGGAUGAAGGCCUUCGGGUUGUAAACCGCUUUUACCAGGAAGGAAAAUGACAGUACCUGGAGAAUAAGGUGCGGCCAACUACGUGCCAGCAGCCGCGGUGACACGUAGGCACCAAGCGUUGUCCGGAUUUAUUGGGCGUAAAGAGCUCGUAGGCGGUUCAGUAAGUCGGGUGUGAAAACUCUGGGCUUAACCCAGAGACGCCACCCGAUACUGCUGUGACUUGAGUCCGGUAGGGGAGUGGGGAAUUCCUGGUGUAGCGGUGAAAUGCGCAGAUAUCAGGAGGAACACCAAUGGCGAAGGCACCACUCUGGGCCGAGACUGACGCUGAGGAGCGAAAGCGUGGGUAGCAAACAGGAUUAGAUACCCUGGUAGUCCACGCCGUAAACGUUGGGCACUAGGUGUGGGUCUCAACCAACGAGAUCCGCGCCGUCGCUAACGCAUUAAGUGCCCCGCCUGGGGAGUACGGUCGCAAGGCUAAAACUCAAAGGAAUUGACGG